rnacentral:rRNA from 1 species
GAUUAGAUACCCUGGUAGUCCACGCCGUAAACGAUGUCGACUUGGAGGUUGUUCCCUUGAGGAGUGGCUUCCGGAGCUAACGCGUUAAGUCGACCGCCUGGGGAGUACGGCCGCAAGGUUAAAACUCAAAUGAAUUGACGGGGGCCCGCACAAGCGGUGGAGCAUGUGGUUUAAUUCGAUGCAACGCGAAGAACCUUACCUACUCUUGACAUCCACGGAAUUCGGCAGAGAUGCCUUAGUGCCUUCGGGAACCGUGAGACAGGUGCUGCAUGGCUGUCGUCAGCUCGUGUUGUGAAAUGUUGGGUUAAGUCCCGCAACGAGCGCAACCCUUAUCCUUUGUUGCCAGCGAUUCGGUCGGGAACUCAAAGGAGACUGCCGGUGAUAAACCGGAGGAAGGUGGGGAUGACGUCAAGUCAUCAUGGCCCUUACGAGUAGGGCUACACACGUGCUACAAUGGCGUAUACAAAGAGAAGCGACCUCGCGAGAGCAAGCGGACCUCAUAAAGUGCGUCGUAGUCCGGAUCGGAGUCUGCAACUCGACUCCGUGAAGUCGGAAUCGCUAGUAAUCGUGGAUCAGAAUGCCACGGUGAAUACGUUCCCGGGCCUUGUACACACCGCCCGUCACACCAUGGGAGUGGGUUGCAAAAGAAGUAGGUAGCUUAACCUUCGGGAGGGCGCUUACCACUUUGUGAUUCAUGACUGGGGUGAAGUCGUAACAAGG